AAAAUUUAAAUUUAAUAUACUAAAAUAGUAAAUAAAUAUUUAUUUAAACUUAAAUAAUUUGGCGGUAUUUUAGUUCAUUUAGGGGAAUCUGUUUAAUAAUUGAUAUUCCACGAAUAAAUUUACUUAAUUUUUUUUUUUAUUUUGUAUAUCGUUGUUAUAAAAAUAUUU
rnacentral:rRNA from 1 species